AUUUUAUGAUGGGGACAGUUUGCAUACAGUUUCUUAAAUCGUUCCCAAUACUCAUACAAGCUCUCUCCAUUGUACUGCCGGAUGCCACAAAUUUUUUUUCUUAUGUU